rnacentral:rRNA from 1 species
ACGGGUGAGUAACGCGUGGGAACAUACCCUUUUCUACGGAAUAGCUCUGGGAAACUGGAAUUAAUACCGUAUACGCCCUACGGGGGAAAGAUUUAUCGGGGAAGGAUUGGCCCGCGUUGGAUUAGCUAGUUGGUGGGGUAAAGGCCUACCAAGGCGACGAUCCAUAGCUGGUCUGAGAGGAUGAUCAGCCACAUUGGGACUGAGACACGGCCCAAACUCCUACGGGAGGCAGCAGUGGGGAAUAUUGGACAAUGGGCGCAAGCCUGAUCCAGCCAUGCCGCGUGAGUGAUGAAGGCCUUAGGGUUGUAAAGCUCUUUCACCGAUGAAGAUAAUGACGGUAGUCGGAGAAGAAGCCCCGGCUAACUUCGUGCCAGCAGCCGCGGUAAUACGAAGGGGGCUAGCGUUGUUCGGAAUUACUGGGCGUAAAGCGCACGUAGGCGGAUAUUUAAGUCAGGGGUGAAAUCCCAGAGCUCAACUCUGGAACUGCCUUCGAUACUGGGUAUCUUGAGUAUGGAAGAGGUAAGUGGAAUUGCGAGUGUAGAGGUGAAAUUCGUAGA